AUGUUUUUGCCUAAUUUGUGUGUGCCUUUGUUUUGUAGGAACUUGUCAAAUCUUGGUCUGAAGGGAAUGUUAUCUCCUGAGAUUGGACAGCUUACUAAUAUGCAUUUUCUUGUACUGCACAGGAACUUGUUCUAUGGCAUUAUCCCUAGAGAGAUGGGAGAUUUACGAGAGCUGAAGGUGUUGGAUCUGGGGUACAAUAACUUCAAUGGAUCAAUUCCAUCAGAGCUAAUAAACAUUUUAUCCCUGGAAUUUAUCUUUCUUAAAAGAAACAGACUUUAUGGUGAUUUAUCUCUUGAACUAAAUGAGCUCAUCAGUCUGUGUGAGUCUCGGGUUCGCCACGGCAGGACUUUCUCAAAUAGGAUGCCCGCUGCAAGAUUUUUCAUUCUAGGUUGUGAAAAAACGGAUGUAGCAUUCCUUCUACAAGUUGUCAUGAGCUGGGACAUAGAAGAAGAGAGCCGACAAGAAGUUGCACAGCGGUUCGCUCUGGUGUCGCUGCCAAUGGCGUUGCGCAAAGUGCAGAUUGCAGGCUAG
rnacentral:rRNA from 1 species